AAAACCCCUCCCAUUUACUCAACAUUUGGCAUGAUUUUAUCUGAACCAUUCUCUUAGGAGGCUGGGAGGAUACUGAAGCGUCCUGUGUUUAAAAUAAUUUGUAGGUCUUUGGGGCCAGAUUUUGAUGGCAUUUUUAGAUUAGAUCAGAAGGUAGGAUGUAGCAGUUCUUUUUGGCACAAGAAAGAGGCAUCUGAGCAUUCAGCAAGAAAUAAAUAUAUAUUCCCAGACACACAUGACAGAUGUUGGGCAGUGUCCUCACGUGACCCACUGAGAGAAAGGAUACUACGUGUCCUGCCAAUUUUAGUAUUUAUUCUGGAAUCCCAGGCUUCUGCAAGCUGUUGGGUUGGGUUUUUUUAAUGUGUGUGGUUUUCCUUAGUUGUUGAAGGAGUUUCAGAAAAAUCUUAGAUGAGGAUAAGAAGGGCAGUAUAAACCCAAAAUCACCUUUUCUUCCCUUUCCCUUCCUUUUUUUGCUCCAUCUCAGCUUCCUAGGCUUGAUUCAUGGAGGGAGGGACAAGCCCUGGGGAGAGAAAAGCACAGAAUUUGAGUCAGUAGAUCUGGUUUCCAUUCCUGGUUCACCCUCUUGCUGCAACCCUGAGAAGUUACUUCACAUUUCUCAUCCUUACCUGACCCCAUCUAUAAAAUGAAAAUCAAGAGAUCCAUCUCACAGGGUUAUUGUGAAUAAAAAUGUGUUUGAAUGUUUAUUACGUAUUGUUGAGAGUUAUUCAGAUAUGAUUCUCAUCUUCCUCCAAGGCUACCCAGAAGACACGUGUAUGUGCCAUUUAUUUCCUCUUCCAUGACAUCACUACUGCCUCCUGCCACCCACAGACAUAUUCCAUUCAAAACUGAAAUGGGAAGUGUUCCUAGAAUUUCCUAUAUUGUGGUGUUUUCUGGAUUUUAAGUACUAUCUAGUGCUAGGGAUGUCACUUAGGCUGCUUUUGGCUGCAAGUAAUCAAUUACCUCAAUCAGGAUCUCAGCAAGAAACAGCAGACUCAGAUUAGGAUUAUUUGAGGAGGGUUAUUUAUUUAUUUAUUUAUUUAUUUAUUUAUUUAUCG
rnacentral:lncRNA from 10 species